rnacentral:lncRNA from 1 species
GCCGUGAAAAUAAAGCGCCACCGUGACGCAGAACGGUGGUUGGGGAUGGAAGAUGGAGAAGAAGAGAAGAGGGAAGUUUCACCAUUUAUGCACACAUUUUGAUAGGAUAUUAUGACUAUUGGCUUUGAGAUAUUAAUUUUUAAAUUUCUUUUUUUUUUUUCGGAAAGUGGAAAUAAAAGAGAGUGAGAUGACUCGUAGUC